AUGAGUCCUAUGGAAGUAUCAACGGCUGAUGUUGACUCUGUUGGAUCGUGUUUAGAUCAGGGCGUUGUUCCUGUUCCACCCCCCAUUGGACUCAUUGUCGGGGCUGUUGUUGGUCUACUGGUGGUGGUGGGGCUCAUUAUCACUGGUGUGGUGAUUAUCCUCAGGAGAAGGAGGACACCAGCGGAAAAAGUUGUCACGAUCCUGCCCGUGCAGAUGGAACACCAGACCCUACUCACAGGUACACCUUCCAUCUCAGUUUACUACCCUCUAUGAAUACUCAGCUUUAUGAAGUACACGUCAUUUGUUGUGUUGACCAGGACCUCAGUACUGUAGCAUUUAAAUAUCACUACAAAUAAUAUCAUUACUACCCUAACUAAUACUACAAAUAACAUCAUUACUACCCAUUACAUUGUACUGUACUGUUUUGUGAAAGGUACAUACCAUCUCAGUUUUCUAUCUAGGAAUACUCUAUGAAGCUUAAUAUUUGUAAUAUUUGUAAUGUAUGUCUUGCCUUGCUGUACUUGGUUGUUGUCAGUUUUUCUUUUUCUUUUUUUUCUUUCUAUCUUAAUCAGAGCAUUCGUGAGAAACAGUUUUAUUCUACUGUUACUAUCAUACGUGCACACAAGAUCCAUUGAUCUUUCACUGUUGUAUCGCACAGGUGCCAGCUCUGGUAUCGGCUCUGGUCCCAGGGAUGGUUCCAGCUCCAGUCUGGACCAUCCCCUUAAUACAACUCAGGUCUGAGUCCCGAUCACCACAUCCUGGGGUGUCUUGUUACAUUCAAGACUUCCACUCCUGAUUGCUUGGUUUCUUCUACGCUUUCUUUUAUGCUUCUUCUUUAGUGUUGUAAAUAAACUUCCAAAGCUUUUUAAAUCUUAUUUGGAAAAUAACUUCACACCAUGGUGUGUCUUUUUACAAUUUAUUCGUUACCAGCAUUUGUAGUGUUGAUCAGCAGUGAAAUAGUCCGCUAUAAGACGUUGACGUCGCUUAGCAACGGAAGACGCUGGGGUUGACAAGUUACCGGACUACUACCCAUGCAAGUGAACGGAGCGUUCCACGGCAUUGAGAAGACCCGUGUAAUAAAGGCCUAUAAAAUGUCUGUUUAUGGCAUAGAUUUCUCCUCAAAUUAGGCCAAUAAAGCAAUGAUAACAAAAACAAAAAAAACACAAACGAUCGAUUGUUUAAUUGUUUAACAUGAAUUGGCUAAACAAAUGACCACUGUAGCAUAUUUAAACACAAUUCAAAUUGACCAGAGAAUUAUUUCCAUUGGUCAUUGUCAGUGGCGGCUGCCGAUCAAACAUGUUGGUGGGGCACAGUAAUAGACAGGGGGUCUGAGGUUCUUCCCCCCCCCCCCCCCGCCAUCAUUUUUUUGGAAUUUAAUAGAUUUGAUUUCCUGUAUUCUGGUGCAUUUUGGGGAUGGCCACUACCUAUUUACCUGCUUUUCAUUCAGAUUCAUAGCCUACAUCCUGACUUGCAGGGCCUGGACAAGCUUACACUGCAUAUACAGACCUACUUCAUGGCCAUUCCACCAGCCAUUGCUAUUUGACCCAUUGUUGUUAUUCGGAUAUUGAGACAAAUCAUGAUCACUGUCCUAUAGCGUCCAUUUUUUGUGAGUCUCAAUGUCUACUUCAAAUGCAGUUAGAAAUAUGGGACAGUUGCUUCAUUUUGUUUAUAUGCUACAGGCCGAAAGACCGAAUUAAUAUGUAACUUACCUGCUCCUUUUAAGUAAAACAUUGCUUGGGGAGUCCAAUUCCUCCACUGAAAAGGGUGGAAAGUGCUUACAACUCUCUGCUAGUUAGCGAUCUAUGACACUGUUGUUUUUUAUUGGUCGUCAUGAAUAAAAACACAAGGGGCAACACUGUUGUUUUUUAUUGGUCGUCAUGAAGAAAAACAUAAGGGCCUGUAAAGACUGUCUUUGUCAAAUAAAACAUGAGGGGUAACUGUCGUUUUUUAUCGGCCAUCAUGAAAUAAACAUAAGGGGGAACACUGUCGAUAUUCAUCAAAUAAAACAUAGGGGGUAACAGUGUAGUUUUUUAUUGGUCGUCAUGAAAAAAUAAAUAAGGGGCAACACUGUUGUUUUUUAUUGGUCUUCAUGAAAAAAAAC
rnacentral:lncRNA from 1 species